CGGCCGACGUGGUCGUCGCUGAGGGCGUGCCACAGCUGGGCGACCUUGGACAUGUACCGCCCCACCUCGAAGGCCAGAACCCCGACGGUGGCAGGCUUUGUCGUCCCGGUUGCGCCGUCCUUCCUCCGUCUGCUCCCUCUGGUGAGCCGCACCCGACCCAGCCACGUUUCCGAUUUCACCUGCCUCAUGCGCGCAAGUUGCUUCUGUGACAGGCCGGAAUUACCCGCAGAGAUCUCUCAUUCAUGUACUUGGGACAAGGUCACGGUGACAUGAUGGCUCUUAUCCAGCUCCAUCUUCAUCUUUCUCUGCCUCUUCAAUGAGCCAAAGGACAAAUGGGCAAAUAGCCAUUUGUCAUCCUCCCUUCACUUUACGAGAUUAUACCGGGAUUAUUCCGGCUGAGGUCAUCAGUAUCAUCGCCUCUCUAGGCAAAGCCUUCUACGGAUCCUCGCGCGUUGGAUCAAAGUACGCAGGUCAGCUUCGCCUUGUUGAUAUCGGCUACAUUAUCCACCGCAUUGGUGAGACACAGUAGUAGUAGCUUCCUUGUCCUGUUGUUCUUGGUUGUCUCUGCGCGACAUGAUAUCCAUUCGGUUGUGGCUCGCAAUUGUGCAGGCGAUGUAACAUAUGCAUGCGUAUUUUGUCAAACAUCUGGCGUACGUUUGUGGUCUUGGGUAAUCUUGGAGAAUGGAGAUUAAACACGAGGAAUUGUGGCGCACGGGAGACGCAUGCGAGGAAUCACGUCAACACAGAUCAUCGUAUAUAGCAAGAUACCCAACUAUAGCAAGAAGUCCAUGAAACUGAAGCAGGAGAUGCCGAUCUCUGAUGACUUCUCGGCUUGUUUGAAGCGAGAACCAGUUGCAGAGGCAGCGGUAGCUGUUGCUGCUGCGCUUGCUGCUUCUGAAACAGGGACGGGGUUGAGGCAGAGGAAGAAGUUCCUUGAGCCCAACCCCAUCAACUUCUCCUCCGGAUCCAGACCUGGUAAUGAUCAUCGGCAUCAUCAAAGUGGCACGAACAUGAUACGUUCUGUGUUGGGAGAUGGGCUUUGCUUACCUUCGAGGCUGAACUGGGAGUAAUGGAGGCCAAAGGCGGAAGGCUCCGCCGUGGGGAUGGGUGGCCGCCGCCCCUCCUUCACGUAGAGCCGGACCGUGGCGGCCACCAGGUCCCCGACGCUCCACUCCGCGGACGCCAUCACCUGCACCGGCCCCAGGCUGCGCUGCACGGACACGUUCACAAGCACCUUCGCCGGCAACCUCCGCUCCUCUCCCGCGCCGCUCCUCCCCCGGGGCAGCAGUUCCGGCUGGGUCUUAGGCCGCCGAAUCUGGCUGCGGUCCAGCGGGGAGGCCGUUAACGUCGUCGUCCGGCCGUGGAACGAAGCCGACCGCUCGGGCCGAGCCUUCCUGCUCUCUCUCAUGUCCGCUCUUCCUGGCCGCUGCGGACGCGGAACACAAGGGGUAUAUAUUGGUAUGUUACGAACUCUGAAGCAAGGGAAGCAGCGAACUCUCAGAUAUACAUGGGGAAGGCAGACAUGGACGAAGCGGGUUGCUCGUCUGGUCUGCAUCUGGGGGAAGCAGUAUAUGCAGCCAUAACUCAUCUCUCUCUUCCCCUAUCUCCUCCGUACCCAAACCGGAUUAUUAGAUGAUGAGCGCAGCGCGUUAUCGCCGCCGUGGUCCUCGGAUGACGACACUCACAGUGGAGGUGUCGCACCCCAAGAUGGAAAGCCACAGGACCGUCCAAAAGACUCACCUUUGUUGGCCCAAUGGGAGCAUGCUGCGUCCUGCUCCGCCCUCGGCUCCCCCUCUUCCCCGGGGGUGAAAUCUCAGCAAGCCCGGGGGAGGCUGCAACCGGUGCCGUCCGAACUCGACCGAACGGGAUCGGUGGAAAGA
rnacentral:lncRNA from 1 species